GAUGAACGCUGGUGGCGUGCCUAAUACAUGCAAGUCGAGCGAAUGGAUUAAGAGCUUGCUCUUAUGAAGUUAGCGGCGGACGGGUGAGUAACACGUGGGUAACCUGCCCAUAAGACUGGGAUAACUCCGGGAAACCGGGGCUAAUACCGGAUAACAUUUUGAACCGCAUGGUUCGAAAUUGAAAGGCGGCUUCGGCUGUCACUUAUGGAUGGACCCGCGUCGCAUUAGCUAGUUGGUGAGGUAACGGCUCACCAAGGCAACGAUGCGUAGCCGACCUGAGAGGGUGAUCGGCCACACCGGGACUGAGACACGGCCCAAACUCCUACGGGAGGCAGCAGUAGGGAAUCUUCCGCAAUGGGCGAAAGUCUGACGGAGCAACGCCGCGUGAGUGAUGAAGGCUUUCGGGUCGUAAAGCUCUGUUGUUAGGGAAGAACAAGUGCUAGUUGAAUAAGCUGGCACCGUGACGGUACCUAACCAGAAAGCCACGGCUAACUACGUGCCAGCAGCCGCGGUAA
rnacentral:rRNA from 1 species